AGUCGAGCGAACGGACGAGAAUUUUGCUUCUCUGAUGUUACCGGCGGCGGGUGAGUAACACGUGGAUAACCUACCUAUAAGACUGGGAUAACUUCGGGAAACCGGAGCUAAUACCGGCAUAAUAUUUUGAACCGCAUGGUUCAAAAGUGAAAGACGGUUUGCUGUCACUUAUAGAUGGAGCGCGCUGCAUUAGCUAGUUGGUAAGGUAACGGCUUACCAAGGCAACGAUGCAUAGCCGACCUGAGAGGGUGAUCGGCCACACUGGAACUGAGACACGGUCCAGACUCCUACGGGAGGCAGCAGUG
rnacentral:rRNA from 1 species